rnacentral:lncRNA from 1 species
GUCCACCAAAAAUUUUGCCUUUACUCUCUAAUUUUUUUUUUUGCUGUUUCUUUAAUAAUUCUUGUUUCUUGAAAACAUCCGCAGUGAAUUUAGAAAUUUCCCAAUCACGUGAAUUAUGUGCCUUUUAUUGAGCAAAUAACCUAAAAGUAAGUGCUUCCUUUUUCUCUCCCACCCUCUUGCGUCUGAAGAAUGGAAAGAGAAACCCACAAUUUUCUCACUUCUUCAAGGUCUCUCUCUGUAUGUGUUUACAUGUCUAUAUAAUUUCCUUUUCAUUGAAAUUUUUGUUAUCUUGAAGAAGCCAAGAAUUCAGGUUUUUCUUUUUGCAAUUGAAUAUUAAUUGCCCAAUGUUUUACUAUCAAAAGGAAACCCAGUAGCCAUUCCAAUAUUCCCACUUUCCUCUGUUUGCUUGAAUUUAUCAUUUAUAAUUUACUUUAGUUUUGAUUGCUUUUCCAAAACUGCCCAAUGUUUAAAAAAAAAAAAAGAAGAAGGUAAUCUGGGAUUUUCACCAAAACAGGUUGAAUGGCUGGAGACGGGGCUCCUAUUGUAAUUAGUCUAGUCUCAAGCCCCCCGUUGCAAUAAUCACUCAAGGGUCUAUUUGCAAUUUUAAAAGGAGGGCCUACUUGUAAUUUGAGAUUUUGGAGGAUCUAGUUUUAAUUUUAAAUUUUGGGGUUAAAAUGUGAUGUACAAAAGGGCUUUUAUUUUGAACUUUUAAAAGUUUUUUGACCCUAAAAUUUCAAUUUGUCCAAUUAAAAUUUUAUUUAAACUUGACCCGAUUAAAAUCAUAUAUUGAAUAAAUAAUAAAAUUAAUUGACG